AAUGAACGCUGGCGGCAUGCCUUACACAUGCAAGUCGAACGGCAGCAUGACCUUGCUUGCUAGGUUGAUGGCGAGUGGCGAACGGGUGAGUAAUGCAUCGGAACGUGCCUUUUAGUGGGGGAUAACGUAGCGAAAGUUACGCUAAUACCGCAUAUUCUCUGAGGAGGAAAGCUGGGGACCUUCGGGCCUUGCGCUAGAAGAGCGGCCGAUGUCGGAUUAGCUAGUUUGUGAGGUAAAGGCUCACCAAGGCAACGAUCCGUAGCGGGACUGAGAGAAUGAUCCGCCACACUAGGACUGAGACACGGCCCUGACUCCUACGGGAGGCAGCAGUGGGGUAUAUUGGGCAAUGGGCGGAAGCCUGAUCCAGCCAUGCCGCGUGAGUGAAGAAGGCCUUCGGGUUGUAAAGCUCUUUCGGCUGGGAGGAAAUCGCACCCUCUAAUACAGGGUGUGGAUGACGGUACCAGCAUAAGAAGCACCGGCUAACUACGUG
rnacentral:rRNA from 1 species